rnacentral:rRNA from 1 species
AUAUCGACGGCGGUGUUUGGCACCUCGAUGUCGGCUCAUCACAUCCUGGGGCUGAAGUAGGUCCCAAGGGUAUGGCUGUUCGCCAUUUAAAGUGGUACGCGAGCUGGGUUUAGAACGUCGUGAGACAGUUCGGUCCCUAUCUGCCGUGGGCGCUGGAGAAUUGAGGGGGGCUGCUCCUAGUACGAGAGGACCGGAGUGGACGCAUCACUGGUGUUCGGGUUGUCAUGCCAAUGGCAUUGCCCGGUAGCUAAAUGCGGAAGAGAUAAGUGCUGAAAGCAUCUAAGCACGAAACUUGCCCCGAGAUGAGUUCUCCCUGAGACUUUAAGUCUCCUGAAGGAACGUUGAAGACGACGACGUUGAUAGGCCGGGUGUGUAAGCGCAGCGAUGCGUUGAGCUAACCGGUACUAAUGAACCGUGAGGCUUAACCUU